ACUCAGAAGCCAUGAAUUUCUAAUUUGUUUGCAUAUUGCAAUGUUAACAAAGAAAUGUACCUGGAUAUUUGUUAAAUUUCCUGGAAUUAGAGUUUGGCCCAUAACUUUCUUCAAACUCUCAACAAGAUCUACAACCAGCUGUAGGUGGUUUCAAGCAAUAUUUUUGCAAUUUUAAAGUCGAAAACUUUUACAUUAUGAAUACUAAAUGGUCAAGAACUAAACACGAAGGGAUGAAAAAAGGAGUAGCAGAUGGGAAGGAUGUGAAGCCAACCAUACUUAAGGAGCUGAAGCCAAUUAGAAAGUGGAAAGCUUACUUGUAUAUGAAGAUUUUAAAAACUCUGUGUUUACCUGGACUGGGCACUCAUUUCACAUAGAGAGCAAAACAUUUGUGAGGCCCCAUGAGCACAGUAUUUCAGGUGACCCACAAUUCAUGGAAUUGAACAAGAAAGAAAACAAGUACAAGG